GUUGGGGUUGAUGAUCCACAUGAUGGUGAUGGACCAGGACAGCUCUGGACCUCCUGACUGGCAGCUCCAUCCUCAACCUCCCUUCCUGUCCUUCACACAUGUGCAGGCAGAGGCAGUUUUCUGAAGGAUGGUUAAUGUCAGUACCAACAUGUUGUGAUGGAGGCUUCCACCUGAGCUGAACACAGAAACUUGCACACAGUGAUGGAAGCAGUCGUUCCUGUUCAGCAUUGAUAUGCCGGUAAUGGGUUUGAUGAGCCACAGCAUGGUGAUGGGCAAUCAGCAUCAGGACCAGGGCCGCUCACAAGGAGAACCUCCUGCCCUGCCUCUUCAUCCUCAACCUCCAAUCUUCCUGCUCUUCACACAUGUGCAGGCACAGAGCCAGUUUUCAGAGGGAGGGCUGAUGACACCAGCAACUUCGGAUCUGAACCUGAUCAACCCAGCACCAACCACUGUGCCGCUCCUCCUCUGCCAACUGCACCACAUGGCUCCACCAUCUCAAAAAGGCACAGACACUACUCCACUUCCUGCGAAGGAUGAGAGAAGAGCCGACCUCCCCACAACGGCACUCACCACCUUCUACAGGGGUGUCAUUGAGAGCAUCCUGACCAGCAGCCUCUCUGUCUGGCAUGGCAGCCGUCAAGCUGAAGACUAGAAGGCAGUACAGAGAGUGGUGAGGACAGCAGAAAAGCUCAUAAGAUCACCCCUACCUGUUCUCCCUACUACCAUCAGGGAAGCGCUAGCCCAGCAUGCGGUGCUGCAAAAGCACACUGGGAAACGACUUCUUUCCACAAGCCAUCAGACUCCUCAACGCACUGAAGAAAACCACAUGAAUAACCAAGGACACGGGAGAAUAUUCCAUGAACACUUCUUUCACCAUGCCACUUACACUUUACUCAUUGCACCUUGUAUACAGCCUCUUCACACCACCUGUAUGAACUCCUCCUGCCGUGUGUGUGUGUCCACUGUGUUUGUGUAUUUAUUGUCCAUCAGUAUGUUAAUCUUAUUAUUGCACACUGUUUGGGUGUCUGUAUUUAUAGUAUGUAUCAGUCUGUAUUUAAUGCCAAUGCCUUAUUUUUAGUUAUUAGUUAAAUGCACAUUUGAGACUGGUCAAACACAAUUUCAAACUUUGUGUUAACCCUCUUGUUGACCGUUCACACUUCAUAGUGUAAAAGUAAACAGAAAUAAAUUCACAUUUCAUUCC